rnacentral:misc_RNA from 1 species
AAUUUGCUCCUUUCUUUGUUUCUUUAUGGUAAGGGGGUCUUUUCCUCGGUUCAACAGUUGGUUGUCCCUCUCCCUUCCUAGAUCGGCGUAAAUAUGGAUUUUUAGUGCUUUUGCAAGUCUAGAGCUUACAUUAGUGAGGGAUUUUGAUUGUACUUAAGCAGCCUGAUAGUCUGAUUGCAGGUGUGUUUCUAUUAGUUGUGGG